AAUGCAAGUCGAGCGCGGGAAGCAGGCAGAUCCUCUUCGGAGGUGACGCCUGUGGAACGAGCGGCGUACCGGUGCGUAAAAAAACCAUUUGGGCAACCCCCUCCCUUUUAAACUGGGGGAAUACCCCCGGGGAAACCCGGGGGCUUAAUCCCGGAUAAAACCUUUUCGUUGCAUAAACAGGAAAUUGAAAGGCGGCCUUUUAGCGUUCCAUUUACCAAUGGGCCCGGCGGGCCCUUAAGCUUAUUGGUUAAGGUAACGGGCUUACCCAAGGGGGAGGAUGGGUAGCCGGACCUGAGAAGGGUGAUUCGGCCCCCACUGGGGACUGAGACCCGGGCCCCGAAUUCCUACGGGAAGGCAGCCGUUAGGGAAUCUUUCCGCAAUGGGACGAAAGUUCUGACGGAGCAACCCCCGCCUAAGUGAUGAAGGUUUUCGGAUCGUAAAACUCUGUUGUCAGGGAAGAACAAGUGCCGUUCGAAUAGGGCGGCACCUUGACGGUACCUGACCAGAAAGCCCCCGGCUAACUACGUGCCAGCAGCCGCGGUAAUACGUAGGGGGCAAGCGUUGUCCGGAAUUAUUGGGCGUAAAGCGCGCGCAGGCGGUCCUUUAAGUCUGAUGUGAAAGCCCACGGCUUAACCGUGGAGGGCCAUUGGAAACUGGAGGACUUGAGUACAGAAGAGGAGAGUGGAAUUCCACGUGUAGCGGUGAAAUGCGUAGAGAUGUGGAGGAACACCAGUGGCGAAGGCGACUCUCUGGUCUGUAACUGACGCUGAGGUGCGAAAGCGUGGGGAGCGAACAGGAUUAGAUACCCUGGUAGUCCACGCCGUAAACGAUGAGUGCUAGGUGUUAGGGGGUUUCCGCCCCUUAGUGCUGAAGUUAACGCAUUAAGCACUCCGCCUGGGGAGUACGGCCGCAAGGCUGAAACUCAAAAGAAUUGACGUGGGGCCCGCACAAGCGGUGGGAGCAUGUGGUUUAAUUUCGAAGCAACGCCGAAGAACCUUACCAGGGUCUUGACAUCCUCCUGCCAAUCCUAGAGUAUAGGAUGUUCCCUUCCGGGGACAGAGUGAACAGGUGGUGUCAUGGUUGUCCGGUCAGCUCGUGUCGUUGGAGAUGUUGUGGUUAAGUCCCCGGCAACGAGCGGCCAACCCUUUGGAUCUUAUGUUGCCAUUGCAUUUAGUUGGGCUCUACUCUAAGGUGAACUGCCGGUGACAAAUACCCCGGAGGAAGGUGCUGGGAUGACGUCAAAUCAUCAUGCCCCUUAUGACCUGGGCUACACACGUGCUACAAUGGAUGGAACAAAGGGCAGCGAAGCCGCGAGGUCAAGCAAAUCCCAUAAAACCAUUCUCAGUUCGGAUUGCAGGCUGCAACUCGCCUGCAUGAAGCCGGAAUCGCUAGUAAUCGCGGAUCAGCAUGCCGCGGUGAAUACGUUCCCGGGCCUUGUACACACC
rnacentral:rRNA from 1 species